GGCAAAGAAAGGGGCGCAGGUGAGAGACCCGAAACGUCCAGGUCCAGAGCCCGGGAGGAAAGAGCCAGGGGCCGGUGCAGGGAUGGGCUCCAGGUCAGGAUGAGCAGUGCCUGACGAGGCCCCUGAAGCGCGCGGGUUGGAGUGAAAGCCAGGCAAGGAAACGCGGAGCAAAAACUGUGGGGCCCUGGACUGUGCUAGAGGCGGGAAGAGAGCAGCGGAGACGGAAGGUACUGUGAAGUCCCCGGUGAGCCUAGAAACAAACGCACAACCUUCUGUGGCGGACCAGGACAUGGACCCGGGAAAGAACGGGGGCGGCGGAACGUGACCGGGAAGCUAGGCGCGCGCCACCACCCAGGAACGAGCGCGGGCCCUCAGCAGAGCGCGCUGGAACCCGACAGGAGCCAGAGAGUAGGGAGGGC
rnacentral:lncRNA from 1 species